rnacentral:rRNA from 1 species
GACGAACCGAGCGAACGUUGUUCGGAAUCACUGGGCUUAAAGGGCGCGUAGGCGGGCCGCCGCGUCCGGGGUGAAAUCUGCCCGCUUAACGGGCAGACGGCCCCGGGUACGGGCGGCCUCGAGGGGGGUAGGGGGACGCGGAACUCUGGGUGGAGCGGUGAAAUGCGUUGAUAUCCAGAGGAACUCCGGUGGCGAAGGCGGCGUCCUGGACCCCAUCUGACGCUGAGGCGCGAAAGCCGGGGGAGCGAACGGG